GACCCUGUGGCCUAAUGGACAAGGGCAUCUGACUUCUAAUCAGGGGAUUGCAGGUUCGAGUCCUGCCAGGGUCG
rnacentral:tRNA from 1 species